rnacentral:rRNA from 1 species
AUGGAGGCGCUGGAGGCGGAUUUCCGCUGCCGGGCUCUUCUUGCCUCGGUGCAGGGCAGGCGCCCCCCUGUGUCGCCGGAGGCGUUGGUGCAAGCUCUGUCCCGGGGCUGCGGGGUGGAGAGGCGCCAUGUUUGGGUGGAGGUUACCCACCCCGCCGAUUUCUUACUCUCCUUCGCCUCCACGGAGGACUGCGAUAGAGUGUUCCGCGAAUCCAGCCGGAUCCGUUGCGCGAGCGCUCCCAUCGCGUUCCAGCGCCGGCACAGUAGCGCGCAAGUGACCAGCGGCAAGAUGGAGUUUUUCUGCAAGCUGGGCAUCGAGGGCCUUCCGGCCAGCGCCUGGGAAUGGUGCUCCGUCAGUCAGCUCGUCAAUAACCUUCAUGGUCAGUUGGUGGAGAUCCUCCCGCCAGACGACCGCUGGCAGCUGGAUGUCACCGCCUGGAUGAAGAACCCGUCUGGCAUCCCCAGGAUCUACGACCUCGAGGUGCCCGAGCCGGCCGGCCUUCAGAACACGGUGGACGAGGAAUGGCCGGUGGCUCCGCCGCCCCCCGCUCCUCCAACGGAAAGGCGUACGCUCAUCCAUCACCUCACCAUCCAUGUCCUGGAUGUGGUGGACCGCACGGUGCCUUUCAUGGAGCUGCGACCAAACUACGAGCCGGAGGAGGAUUAA